UGUUGAAUCGUACUACUUGAAUGUAAACUUGUUUGUAUGCUAAGAACACCACAUGCAACGAAAAUAUUAUGCUUUAAGGGGUUAGAUGUAUUGUUUUUUCCCCCAUAUCUUUUCUUUAUUAUGUCUAUUUUGUAUUACUUUAUUGCUUAAUUUCCUGAGAAAUGAUUGCAUUUGAUAUGGUCUACAAGUUUUCAGUGUUGGUCCUGAGGAUGCUGCAGUUGUUGGUAAUCAACUGUCAGAAGAAGAGAAAACUACUCUUCAGACUCAACUGAGAGGAUACGAAGCAACACUGAGCAAUUCCCCAAGAGAUCCAACUGCUCUUGAGGGAGCUGCUGUAACCUUGGCUGAGUUAGGAGAAUAUACCAGAGUGGUCUCUUUGCUUGAGAACUUGACAAAGGAGAAGCCAAGUGACCCUGAUGUUUUUCGUUUGGUUGGAGAAGUUAAGUAUAAACUAAAGGAUUAUGAGGGAAGCGCUAACGCAUAUGAAAGUGCUGCAAAGGUUUCUAAGUAUCUCAGUUUUGAAGUUCUACGAGGCCGAGCAAAUGCACUACUUGCUGCUAAGAAACCAGAUGAGGUUUGUUCUCACAUUAGUGGAUCACAUUGCUUUUACAACGGUCCUUUGAUAAGAAUGUUGUAAAAAGUAAUAUUGUAGUUUUCUACAUGCAUGGUUCACGAUUUUAUGGAACUUUUUAUUAAUGUUAUGGUUUACUAUGAAUCUGUUAGUCUUUCUCUUAUUUUUAGAUCAUUAUAAGUAAGUGUUGU